UGCACGUAUGUUAAAAGAAAAGUUUUCAAAUUCUCAGUAGUCUUGCGAGCUUGAAUAAUAUUUACCUAUAAAAAGCUCUGGAUUAAAGAGUGAUCCGCACACAGGUGCUGGUUUUAAAGGCUUUGAAGCCAAAAUAUGAAUUUCAAUUUUAGCGCAGACCAUUAGGUGUUCAAUUGAAGAGUGACGAUUUAUCUAAAAACGAAGGAGUGAUUUUGGAGUCUGUGUGGAAGAGAUCCAACUUCUCCUUGAAGGGUACUUCGAUCAGUAUCACCUCAGGAAGAAGAAGGAAAAACAACCAGAAAUUGAAUAAUUUUGACUGAAUACUCUUUACGUUUUGUCAAAGCUGAGGAAAAUUGGCGUUUCGAUUCUACUUCUAUCUAAACCGGAAAUCAAUCAAUGGAUUGUGGUCUGCCUUUUGUCUUACUGUUGAUCGUCGUAAUUUAUUACAGAAGCUUUUUCCUCGACCUUUCGCACGCGGGUCACAACAAUUUGACAGUUCUAUGCGUUCAGUCAUGACGA